rnacentral:rRNA from 1 species
CCUAGGGGAGGCUGCAGUGGGGAAUAUUGGACAAUGGGCGAAAGCCUGAUCCAGCCAUGCCGCGUGUGUGAAGAAGGCCUUCGGGUUGUAAAGCACUUUCAGUGGGGAAGAAAGCCUUGGGGCUAAUACCCUCGAGGAAGGACAUCACCCACAGAAGAAGCACCGGCUAACUCCGUGCCAGCAGCCGCGGUAAUACGGAGGGUGCGAGCGGUAAUCGGAAUUACUGGGCGUAAAGCGCGCGUAGGCGGUCUGAUAAGCCGGUUGUGAAAGCCCCGGGCUCAACCUGGGAACGGCAUCCGGAACUGGCAGGCUAGAGUGCAGGAGAGGAAGGUAGAAUUCCCGGUGUAGCGGUGAAAUGCGUAGAGAUCGGGAGGAAUACCAGUGGCGAAGGCGGCCUUCUGGACUGACACUGACGCUGAGGUGCGAAAGCGUGGGUAGCAAACAGGAUUAGAUACCCCAGUAGUC